rnacentral:misc_RNA from 1 species
UAUCCCGGUGCAAUGAGA